rnacentral:rRNA from 1 species
AAACUGUGGUUAAGGAACUCGGCAAAUUACCCCCGUAACUUCGGGAGAAGGGGGGCCACAGACUGUCAUACCCCACGCGGGUGGCAGCAGUAGGUGGCCGCAGAGACCAGGGGGAAGCGACUGUUUACUAAAAACACAGGUCCGUGCGAAGUCGUAAGACGAUGUAUACGGACUGACGCCUGCCCGGUGCUGGAACGUUAAGGGGACCGGUUAGUCCGCAAGGGCGAAGCUGAGAACUUAAGCGCCAGUAAACGGCGGUGGUAACUAUAACCAUCCUAAGGUAGCGAAAUUCCUUGUCGGGUAAGUUCCGACCUGCACGAAUGGCGUAACGACUUCCCUACUGUCUCAACCACAGGCCCGGCGAAAUUGCACUACGAGUAAAGAUGCUCGUUACGCGCGGAAGGACGGAAAGACCCCGGGACCUUCACUAUAGCUUGACAUUGGUAUCCGAAUUUAAUUGUGUAGGAUAGGUGGGAGGCUUUGAUCCGCGGACGCCAGUCCGUCGGGGAGCCAACGUUGAAAUACCACUCUGUUGACUUUGGGUAUCUAACUUCGGACCGUGAUCCGGUUCAGGGACAGUGUCUGGUGGGUAGUUUAACUGGGGCGGUUGCCUCCUAAAAUGUAACGGAGGCGCUCAAAGGUUCCCUCAGCCUGGUUGGCAAUCAGGUGUUGAGUGCAAGUGCACAAGGGAGCUUGACUGUGAGACUGACAGGUCGAGCAGGGACGAAAGUCGGGACUAGUGAUCCGGCACCUGCGAGUGGAAGCGGUGUCGCUCAACGGAUAAAAGGUACCCCGGGGAUAACAGGCUGAUCUUCCCCAAGAGUCCAUAUCGACGGGAUGGUUUGGCACCUCGAUGUCGGCUCGUCGCAUCCUGGGGCUGGAGUAGGUCCCAAGGGUUGGGCUGUUCGCCCAUUAAAGCGGCACGCGAGCUGGGUUUAGAACGUCGUGAGACAGUUCGGUCCCUAUCCUCCGCGCGCGUAGGAGACUUGAGAAGAGCUGUCCCUAGUACGAGAGGACCGGGACGGACGAACCUCUGGUGUGCCAGUUGUCAUGCCAAUGGCACAGCUGGUUAGCUACGUUCGGAAGGGAUAACCGCUGAAAGCAUCUAAGCGGGAAGCUCGCUUCAAGAUGAGGUCUCCCACCCCUUAGAGGGUUAAGGCCCCCAGCUAGACCACUGGGUUGAUAGGCCAGAAGUGUAAGCCUGGUAACAGGUUCAGCCGACUGGUACUAAUAGGCCGAGGACUUCAUC